GAUGAAGAACGUAGCGAAAUGCGAUAAGUAAUGUGAAUUGCAGAAUUCAGUGAAUCAUCGAAUCUUUGAACGCACCUUGCGCUCCUUGGUAUUCCGAGGAGCAUGCCUGUUUGAGUGUCAUGAAAUUCUCAACCUUUUCAGCUUUCUUUGUUGAUCAGGCUUGGAUGUGGGAGUAUGCGGGCUUCUCAGAAGUCGGCUCUCCUGAAAUGCAUUAGCGGGACCUUUGUUGCCUGGCUUUGGUGUGAUAAUUAUCUACGCCAUUGUGGUCAAGCAGCUUAAAAUGAGGUUUCAGCUUCUAACCGUCUCCCCUGAGACAACUUUUUGACAAUUUGACCUCAAAUCAGGUAGGACUACCCGCUGAACUUAAGCAUAUCAAUAGCGGAGGA
rnacentral:misc_RNA from 1 species